ACUGAAUCUCUCUCUGUCUCUGCACUCUGCUAUACAGGUAUAUACUGAAUCUCUCUCUGCACUCUGCACUCUGCUAUACAGGUAUAUACUGAAUCUCUCUCUGUCUCUGCACUCUGCUAUACAGGUAUAUACUGAAUCUCUCUCUGUCUCUGCACUCUGCUAUACAGGUAUAUACUGAAUCUCUCUCUCUCUGUCUCUGCACUCUGCUAUACAGGUAUAUACUGAAUCUCUCUCUCUCUGUCUCUGCACUCUGCUAUACAGGUAUAUACUGAAUCUCUCUGUCUCUCUCUCUGCACUCUGCUAUACAGGUAUAUACUGAAUCUGUCUCUGUCUCUGCACUCUGCUAUACAGGUAUAUACUGAAUCUCUCUCUCUCUCUGUCUCUGCACUCUGCUAUACAGGUAUAUACUGAAUCUCUCUCUGUCUCUGUCUCUGCACUCUGCUAUACAGGUAUAUACUGAAUCUCUCUCUCUCUCUGUCUCUGCUAUACAGGUAUAUACUGAAUCUCUCUCUGUCUCUGUCUCAGUACUCUGCUAUACAGGUAUAUACUGAAUCUGUCUCUGUCUCUGCACUCUGCUAUACAGGUAUAUACUGAAUCUCUCUCUGUCUCUGUCUCUGCACUCUGCUAUACAGGUAUAUACUGAAUCUCUCUCUGUCUCUGCACUCUGCUAUACAGGUAUAUACUGAAUCUCUCUCUCUCUGUCUCUGCACUCUGCUAUACAGGUAUAUACUGAAUCUCUCUCUCUCUCUGUCUCUGCUAUACAGGUAUAUACUGAAUCUCUCUCUCUCUCUGUACUCUGCUAUACAGGUAUAUACUGAAUCUCUCUCUGUCUCUGCACUCUGCUAUACAGGUAUAUACUGAAUCUCUCUCUGUCUCUGUCUCUGUACUCUGCUAUACAGGUAUAUACUGAAUCUCUCUCUCUCUGUCUCUGCACUCUGCUAUACAGGUAUAUACUGAAUCUCUCUCUGUCUCUGUCUCUGCACUCUGCUAUACAGGUAUAUACUGAAUCUCUCUCUCUCUCUGUCUCUGCACUCUGCUAUACAGGUAUAUACUGAAUCUCUCUCUCUCUGUCUCUGCACUCUGCUAUACAGGUAUAUACUGAAUCUCUCUCUGUCUCUGCACUCUGCUAUACAGGUAUAUACUGAAUCUCUUUCUCUCUCUGUCUCUGCACUCUGCUAUACAGGUAUAUACUGAAUCUCUCUGUCUCUCUCUCUGCUAUACAGGUAUAUACUGAAUCUCUCUCUGUCUCUGCACUCUGCUAUACAGGUAUAUACUGAAUCUCUCUCUCUCUCUGUCUCUGCACUCUGCUAUACAGGUAUAUACUGAAUCUCUCUCUGUCUCUGCACUCUGCUAUACAGGUAUAUACUGAAUCUCUCUCUGUCUCUGCACUCUGCUAUACAGGUAUAUACUGAAUCUCUCUCUGUCUCUGUCUCUGCACUCUGCUAUACAGGUAUAUACUGAAUCUGUCUCUGUCUCUGUACUCUGCUAUACAGGUAUAUACUGAAUCUCUCUCUGUCUCUGCACUCUGCUAUACAGGUAUAUACUGAAUCUCUCUCUGUCUCUGCACUCUGCUAUACAGGUAUAUACUGAAUCUCUCUCUGUCUCUGCACUCUGCUAUACAGGUAUAUACUGAAUCUCUCUCUGUCUCUGCACUCUGCUAUACAGGUAUAUACUGAAUCUCUCUCUGUCUCUGUACUCUGCUAUACAGGUAUAUACUGAAUCUCUCUCUGUCUCUGCACUCUGCUAUACAGGUAUAUACUGAAUCUCUCUCUCUCUGUCUCUGCACUCUGCUAUACAGGUAUAUACUGAAUCUCUCUCUGUCUCUGCACUCUGCUAUACAGGUAUAUACUGAAUCUCUCUCUCUCUGUCUCUGCACUCUGCUAUACAGGUAUAUACUGAAUCUCUCUCUCUCUGUACUCUGCACUCUGCUAUACAGGUAUAUACUGAAUCUCUCUCUCUCUGUCUCUGCACUCUGCUAUACAGGUAUAUACUGAAUCUCUCUCUCUCUGUACUCUGCACUCUGCUAUACAGGUAUAUACUGAAUCUCUCUCAGUCUCUGUCUCUGCACUCUGCUAUACAGGUAUAUACUGAAUCUCUCUCUGUCUCUGCACUCUGCUAUACAGGUAUAUACUGAAUCUCUCUCUGUCUCUGCACUCUGCUAUACAGGUAUAUACUGAAUCUCUCUCUGUCUCUGUACUCUGCUAUACAGGUAUAUACUGAAUCUCUCUCUGUCUCUGUCUCUGCACUCUGCUAUACAGGUAUAUACUGAAUCUCUCUCUGUCUCUGUACUCUGCUAUACAGGUAUAUACUGAAUCUCUCUCUCUCUCUGUCUCUGCACUCUGCUAUACAGGUAUAUACUGAAUCUCUCUGUCUCUGCACUCUGCUAUACAGGUAUAUACUGAAUCUCUCUCUGUCUCUGCACUCUGCUAUACAGGUAUAUACUGAAUCUCUCUCUGUCUCUGUCUCUGCACUCUGCUAUACAGGUAUAUACUGAAUCUCUCUCUGUCUCUGCACUCUGCUAUACAGGUAUAUACUGAAUCUCUCUCUGUCUCUGCUAUACAGGUAUAUACUGAAUCUCUCUCUCUCUGUCUCUGCACUCUGCUAUACAGGUAUAUACUGAAUCUCUCUCUCUCUGUCUCUGCACUCUGCUAUACAGGUAUAUACUGAAUCUCUCUCUCUCUGUACUCUGCACUCUGCUAUACAGGUAUAUACUGAAUCUCUCUCUGUCUCUGCACUCUGCUAUACAGGUAUAUACUGAAUCUCUCUCUGUCUCUGCACUCUGCUAUACAGGUAUAUACUGAAUCUCUCUCUCUGUCUCUGUACUCUGCUAUACAGGUAUAUACUGAAUCUCUCUCUCUCUCUGUCUCUGCACUCUGCUAUACAGGUAUAUACUGAAUCUCUCUGUCUCUGCACUCUGCUAUACAGGUAUAUACUGAAUCUCUCUCUGUCUCUGUACUCUGCUAUACAGGUAUAUACUGAAUCUCUCUCUCUGUCUCUGCACUCUGCUAUACAGGUAUAUACUGAAUCUCUCUCUGUCUCUGCACUCUGCUAUACAGGUAUAUACUGAAUCUCUCUCUGUCUCUGCACUCUGCUAUACAGGUAUAUACUGAAUCUCUCUCUGUCUCUGCACUCUGCUAUACAGGUAUAUACUGAAUCUCUCUGUCUCUGUACUCUGCUAUACAGGUAUAUACUGAAUCUCUCUCUCUCUCUGUCUCUGCACUCUGCUAUACAGGUAUAUACUGAAUCUCUCUGUCUCUGCACUCUGCUAUACAGGUAUAUACUGAAUCUCUCUCUGUCUCUGCACUCUGCUAUACAGGUAUAUACUGAAUCUCUCUCUGUCUCUGUCUCUGCACUCUGCUAUACAGGUAUAUACUGAAUCUCUCUCUGUCUCUGUCUCUGCUAUACAGGUAUAUACUGAAUCUCUCUCUGUCUCUGCACUCUGCUAUACAGGUAUAUACUGAAUCUCUCUCUGUCUCAGUCUCUGCACUCUGCUAUACAGGUAUAUACUGAAUCUCUCUCUCUCUCUGUCUCUGCACUCUGCUAUACAGGUAUAUACUGAAUCUCUCUCUGUCUCAGUACUCUGCUAUACAGGUACAAUGGGGCAAAAAAGUAUUUAGUCAGCCACCAAUUGUGCAAGUUCUCCCACUUAAAAAGAUGAGAGAGGCCUGUAAUUUUCAUCAUAGGUACACUUCAACUAUGACAGACAAAUGAGAAAAAAAAAAUUCUCCAGAAAAUCACAUUGGAUUUUUUUAAUGAAUUUAUUUACAAAUUAAAAGUAAGUAUUUGGUCAAUAACAAAAGUUUAACAAAAGUUUAUCUCAAUACUUUGUCAUUGCCAACAAAAGGUAUAUAACAGAGGUCAAACGUUUACUGUAAGUCUUUGCACACUGUUGCUGGUAUUUUGGCCCAUUCCUCCAUGCAGAUCUCCUCUAGAGCAGUGAUGAGUAAGUAUGUGUGUGUUGCAGGGUGAUACCUCUGGUGACUACCGUAAGGCCCUCCUCCUGCUCUGUGGCGGCAAUGACGCGUAACCGUGGUGAUGAUCCCUGAAGGAGCGAUACCUGGAGAGACCUCCUCUCUGAAUGGCCCCUCUAGCUGUCAAUCACUCUCUGAGUCCUGUGUAACCCAAUAGGAGAGCUCUGCUGGCCACGGUGCAGCACUGUGAUAGGUUAUGAUGGGUUUAAUCCUGUGUGUAUCUGUAGCUAACAUCCUUAAAGCUUCACUCUGCUUCAUAUCUACAUCACUACAGUCAUAAUAAUGCUGCAAGUCAUGUUUUACUAUCAGUUAUAUAACAACUAAAGACUGUUCAUGUUUUUACUGUUUGUAAGGCAACACUGAAGACACAAUAAACAUUUUGACAGCA